rfam:Picea glauca, whole genome shotgun sequence.
GCAAUGGUGUCUUUAGACACCACUACUACUUCCAAAUCCUCUUUUU